rnacentral:lncRNA from 1 species
AUGUACUUUUGUGUUUCUAGUUUGAUGUCUUCGGGCAGGACAUGCUUGGAUCAGCUGCUGGAAUUAUCUAUGAAAUGCAACGAAGUUCCAGUCUUCAUUCUGGUCGCUGCCUCGACAGAAGCCUCGGAGAAACAGUAACGUGCUGUAUGUUUCUGUUUUAACAUAGUUGCUUGCAAAUGUUUUCUUACUCUGUUGACUUGUAAACAGUAUUUAGCGUUAAUGUUUCCGUGCUUUGACACUUUGUAAUUGAAAUGCAUGUUCAUUUUCACUUCGAACCUUGUGCAUCCGACGUAUUGUAAUGUUUUGUUUUGUAUGCAGUUUUCGCUCAAUAAAUUGUCGAUUGAAACUUGAUUUUGUUCUUUCAUUUCUUGUGCAGAGUUCUGUUCCCCCUUGGCCCUGAAAAAAACCCGAUGUUGGUGAGUUUUUUGGCGGAGAGAUUUUG